CCUCUGCCCAUUUUUUAAUCAGGUUGUUUGGGGUUUUUUUGAUGUUGAGUUGUAUGAGUUCUUUAUAUAUUUGAGGUAUUAACCCUUUAUCAGAGACAUCGUUUGAAAAUACUUCAUCUAUUCAGGAGGAAGCUACAUACUUGUUUGAGGCCCAGCACAAAAUGAAAACAUAGGGUCCCUUGCCCAAAAUGUAUUAAGAGUACCAAGGUGGCCACAACAGAGCAAUAAACCAAGUGCGGGGCCCUAGAGAACUGCACAAGUCACACAUCCAUGGAAACUGGCCUGGCCUCAAAUCAAACCAGACCAUCUGCUAGCCUCUUGCACAUCUGAGGCUAACAUAGUCCCCUUCCUCUGGUCCUCCUUGGAAUUACCCCUAAUUUCUGUCCUUUGAAACUAGGUAUAAUGUGUUUUAUUUUUUUCCUCUAUAAAUUUUAUCUUAAUUCUACUAAUUUCUUCUUUCUAAAACCUUCAUUUCUAUUUUGUGUACAUAUUUCUCUUAGGUCAUGUUAUAUUACCUUAAUCAUUUUCUUAUUUUACCUUAAUUAUUCUCACCAUCUAGCUCCAGUUCAGUUUAGUUAUAAAUGCAUAAUAAAAAUUCUAAGAAUAUUUGCAGAAUAUACUCAUUUGUAAAUUUUUAAUUCACUUUCUUUCCAAAUAUAUAGGAUAUUAUUAUUUGCUGACAACAAUCGAAAUUUCAUCAAACAUUUUCCAACAUUUUUUACAACAUUUUUCAACAUGUAUUUAUUUAUCUUCAUUUGGUGGAAAUUCUUUAACAUGUACUUGAACCCCAUAUAUACUAUCUAAAAUUUCCUUUGUUCUUGUAAUUUAUAGAAAAGGGAAAUGCUGCUCACUAGGCAAACAGGUGCCAAGUAAUGUAAUAGGAUCAUUCACAGAAUGUAUCUCAUUUACUGCUUGCAAAACCCAUGCGCUAAUAUGUCCAUGUUAAAAUGAAACUAAGACUCCAGGGGUAAAGUCACCUGCCCCAAAUCACACAGCCAGAGACAGAGUCAGAAUUCAGCACAAUAUCUGCCUGUCUCCUGUCUACACCUCAGACCAUCAACACUACUUUCCUGAGAGUAGCUUUUUAAAGAAUAGGUGGUGACAACCUGUGAAUUUUACACUCAGUUUAUUGAACAAUGACAACAAAACAUCAGGGCCAAUGAUCGGGCAUUUUCACAGGGAUAUCUACCUGGCAACAUCCUUCUACUGUGUUUGAUAAGAAGAUGAGCCAUUCUCAGGGUAGAGGCAGUUCUGAGACCAUUCUAUGAGAUUGGGCAGCCUGGCAGGAAAUCCAGAAGUAGCCCCACAAUCCUCAUCUCCUCUCCCUCCUGGAAAUAACUCAAUAAAUUGCAACUGUAAUAAUGCUCUGCAGCCUUUGUAUAUUUGUUGGCUGAAAAUGAAUAAAUGGAGACAUUAUAAAACUCUUGGAUUCCCACAGUUGACUCUAAUGAGAAACACACUUUGAGCUAUCAACUCCAGAUGGAUCCCACAAAGGUCCAGAGCCCCUCCACCACCCAAGACUCGCCUCCUCUAAGCAAGGACAGUUUCAUUGCAGUGAUCCAAAUCUUGAUUACAACAUAUCCUUAAUUGUUGAGUCGGUGAUGUUGCUUUUGGACCAGAUUUCAUCACCCUGAUUUGCCUAAAAACAAAUCCCCCAAACUGCCCUCAGAAUCAACAUAUUGCUAUUUGCAUUUAAAAAUUAAGGAAUAGCUGAUGCUC
rnacentral:lncRNA from 9 species